rnacentral:rRNA from 1 species
GACGUAGGUGGCAAGCGUUGUCCGGAUUUACUGGGCGUAAAGGGCUCGUAGGCGGCCAUCUAAGUCGGAUGUGAAAUCCCCAGGCUUAACCUGGGAACUGCAUCCGAUACUGGAUGGCUUGAAUCCGGGAGAGGGAUGCAGAAUUCCAGGUGUAGCGGUGAAAUGCGUAGAUAUCUGGAGGAAUACCGGUGGCGAAGGCGGCAUCCUGGACCGGCAUUGACGCUGAUGAGCGAAAGCUAGGGGGGCAAACGGG